CUGGCAGUCUUCAAACUACAACUAAAGAUCUACCUCUUAAUGAAGUGUUUAAAUUGGCACCUUAUUUAAAAAAUAAAAUAAAAAAUAAUAAUUAAAAAAAAAAACACUUGUAUUGUCCUGAGCAAUUACCACUACAAAUACCAUUACAAGCCAUCAGCUCUUAACCAUUAAAACCAUGACCAAAUGUUUUCCAUUACAUAGUAGGGCACAAUUAAGGACGUAGAUCAUUAAUGGUAUCCACUAGACACAACAUGCCACUAACAGAAUGUAAAAAAUUACCAGUUGAGACCCACAGGGACCAUUACAGUUUCCAUUAAAACUAAUACAAUGCCCAUUAUAAUCAUUACAAAUUCUGUUAGGGUUUCUAUAGUUUUUUUCAGCUGGGAAGAGUGAGGAGGCUAUCCGCCCACAGUACGUCUGCCCAGACAUGGUUGCCAGAUUGAGCUUACUUGAUUUUGCUAUUUAUAAAAUGAAAAAUGAAAUGGGACAAAUUUUAUGGUUGAUAAUUUUGUCUAGGCUUCAUUUGGUUAUUAUAAAUUGGGAUAGUUUAGCGUAAAUUGGACGGGUUUUAAAUUAUCCCCACUGUUUUGGAAGCAAGUCAAGGCAACCCCGAUGAAAUGAAACCAAAAAUUAUCGGUACACGGCCACGUUCACUUUUAAACACCCGACCAGUUUUUGACACUGCUUUUUGAGAAAUGGCCUCCACAGUGACCACAGAUGCUCAUGGAGUCAGGGUGGUGACCCAGGUCAUUCCUCUGGUGAGUCCAGAGACUGUCCAGUGUCCCGGUCAGAACAAAGACAGCAAGACUAAAGUACCUGAAGCCCCGUACAUGACCAGGAUGUUCCUGAAGGGAGAGCCUGUAGCAUUAGGGACUGUGCAGAUCAUGAUUGGGAUCGUGAUGAUAGCUUUGGGAGCAGUUACUUGGUUCACACAAAUUCUGUAUGGUGAAAUCCCUCUGGGCCUUGGACUAUCAUUUAUCUUCUCUGGAUCUGUAACCUUGGGUGCACACAAGGGAACCUGUCCUCCAAUUAUUAAAAGCACAAUUGCCCUGAACAUCAUCAGUGCUGUACUUGCCAUGUCCGGCAUCUGCUACUUCUGCUUUGCACUUGCCAUAAAAGCUCAUUUGGAUGCUUGUAGUGAUGAUCAUGAGAAAAAGUUCUACUACACCGGCUACUAUGACUGCCAGUUUGCAGCUAGGCGUCUGCAGAACUUAAUAAGCGGAAUAAAGGGCAUACUUUUGAUUUUAUCCGUGCUGGAGGUGUGCGUGUGUACCACAACUGUUGUCUUUUCCUGCAAGGCCAACCUACAUGCAUCUGGGACUAAAAUGGAUGCGGUGGUGGUGCAGGGAAGAUGCAGCAGCCAAGAAGCUCUGCUGAACAGUGAAUUGGCUUCACCUCCAGCCUAUGAGCCUUGAGUGAACCCAUCCUAUGAAAGCAAUUUAUGGUUUAGAGUACAGUAUAGUAUAACAUAGUUUAAAGUAGUGCUUGCACCUUUUAGACACUAAUGUAAGAGUCUCAGAUAUUACACUUAAUUUUUUUCAUGUAUUCUGCUUUUGACGUUGCACCUUUGCACAAAUUUAUGCCACAUUGAAAAUGCCUGCAGUUAUACUGAAUACUUGUAUUCUUCAAUAAAUGCUAAAGUGCACUUAUUACCUGUGUGUGCCUCUUAUCGCUGUACGAUUUAGUGACACAAUUCCCAGUGAAACUGAGCCAUAGAUUGAUCUUCACAGCAUAGUAGUGGGGUGAGGCAAUACCUUUUGCCCACUUGCUGUGUCUGCGUUUAGUGCAUGUCCUUUUCACACACAGACUGAAACAGUGUCGGCUCUUUAACAUCAUAUUACCUUCUCCUUCUCCUCCCACACCCACGACGUAGCACACUAGUGUCAAUACUCUCCAGCAGUGGGUCUUCUCUACUUGCUGCAGUCUGCCACACCACAUUCUCAACUGCGCUCUUCAGCCCCUCCAAAGCGUUUAGAUAAUUCAUGCUCCGGUGAAACAUACCUCACAACACAGCUCUUAGAGUCGAGAUUGCUCUAGAAUACGGAGGUAUUGAGCUCGCCCUCAUUCGGCUGUGUCCGGAUUGCCUCGCCUCAUUACAUUAAGAGUGCUGCAGCGGUUUGGACCCCUCCUCGGUUUGUCAACACCGCCUCUGCACAACUCAAGGUAUGGCUUAUUCAGAUUCAUGAACUGCAUGCAAAGGCAAUCGGAGCAUUUUUAUUGCGAUUGUUUUAACUUUAAGAUGGAGCGAAUGCGCGCGUGUGUGAUGCGGUUCAGUCCCAGACUGGGAUGCUGUCAUCUUGCUGUGCUGAAUAAUGUCGUGUCGCUGACUGUGUUUGGCUCACACAGAGCACCAUGUCGCUGUACCCGUCUCAGAUUAAGGCUUUCAAGAGCAGCGAGCCCAAAACCCUUGGGGCAGUGGAGAUCAUCAUUGGGUUGCUGACGGUCAUUCUGAGCACGAUUGUGUAUAAACUGCACUACCACAUCCAGCGGGAGGUCAUCAUCCUCAUCCUGAAUGGUGCUCAAGUAAGGCCUGGCUCUUAUCAAUUUAUCAACUCGUUGAAAAUAUCGUCCAAAAAUAUAUGUCCAAGUAAAUCAAGCAAUACCUAUUGACCUAUCGGAGGAGCAAGGAGUGAAGUAAUUAAGAGAUUUAAAAAAAAAUAUUCUAUGCAGUGGAUUGAGUCAAUAAGGUAAAUUUAGAGUUUAUUUUUCAGAAUAAAUGCAUUCAGUUUAAAUAACUGAGAGAAUUGCAAUGAAAGGAGGGUACGAUAAUAAAUAACUGCACUAGUUACACUGGAAUUCACUGGUCUGCUUUGCAUGUCAUGUAAUAACAUAUUUAUGGUUGGUCGACUUACAGAAGUGAUGCAGUGUUUUGUAUUGCUCUUUCCUGCAGCUCAUUAUCACUGGAAUUGUCUUGGUGCAUACUGGUAGGAGACCAUCUAAAUGUCUGGUAUGAUAUUUUGUAUACCAUAAUGAAAAGAAAUUCUCUGUAUAAUGAGUAUAAUAAAUGUAUACAAUCUGUUAAGCACUUUAAGUAUUUUAGAAAAUGCUGGGCAAGUGCAAUUUAGCCCUUUGGACAGCACCCAGCGCUGACUGAUAGCCAGAAUCUUGCUUCUUCAGCACCCUAGACAUCUGUGUUUUAUCCUCUCUUUUUUGGCUGAAAGGUAAAUAGGCAAAUGACCAUUGCUUAAGAUCUUUUUUUUUUUUUGGAUGAUGAUUAUGAGCAGUGUGAGCACUGUGACUGAAAUGCCAGUUCAGAGCAGUCAGUCAUUCACUUAGAUUUUCUCUGCUUAAAGGUUCAUCUUUCAUUGCUCUUGAGUUGACUUGGAUGUAACAGUUCAGCUGAAAGGCUUAUGUAUUGUUGAAUGUUCUCUCUCAAAGCUUUAUAGCAGUCGCUGUUGUAAGAUUGUGUCUUAAAUUGCUUCACUGUUUCUGUACUUUUUACUUUUUGCUUUUGUUAUAUAUUCUUGUUAUUGGAUCCUUCCGGCUCAUGCCAGCAUCAAUACUAUCUGUGUACAACGCAUUUGUCACUCUGCUGCUCAGCCUCUCUCUUAUGGGGAUGUGUCCAGUUUCAUUCACUCUGGGCAGAUCUCGGUUGAACUAAUCUCUACAGUAUACAGUAUGCCUGAAAGUUACAAGCAGAUUUGCAUUUUUUUGGACAGAGAAUUCAGAUUUGUUAUUUUUAUUUUUUUUAUUUUCACAGGUGGGUACAACCAUUGUUUUGCAGUUGCUAACCGCAGCAUUUGAUAUUGUCGGAUUUGGUCUCAUAGCCCGACAUGUGCCCUUUCGUGGGGAAUCCUACUAUUACAGAGACACCGAGUUCCUGGUGAAUGGCAUUUUGGGCACCUUGAUUGGUUUUUUGGUAUUGGUGUGUAUUAUCGGUUUGGUUGUGGCACUUUUUGGAGUGUAUGCCCUAUCUGUUAGUGCUAUUAAGGAGAUGACACCUAUUCCUACCUCCACUGCAAACGCACAGUACGGUGCCGGAGGACAGGCCAGGACUAAUGUGCGUAAUGGGAACUGACCGAACAAAAUCUCUCACAGGAUAAGAUCAAUGGUUUUAGCACAGUUUCAUACCAAUCAAAAGAAACAACUGUUUCAACUCUAAAUCACACACAAUUCAAACAAAAACUUUUGUGACAAUGUAAAUAAUUUGUAAACAAACAAACAAAAAAAAACAACUGUUAGGUCGUUACUUGGCUGUUUUCUCACGCUGCAGUGAAUUUUGAUGGCUAAAUAGUUGCUAGGACUUCAUUCAUUUUGCACUAAUAGACAAGUUUGUUUGCAUGAAAAUACUUUUGUAGUGUCAGUAAUGAGCAAGCCAUAGACGUGAAUGCUGUAAGAUUGUACAGAAAUGUAGGUAGCAAUUCUUUUUUUUUAAUAUGCUAACCAAUUUGCAAAUUAGACAGAUUAUCAGUCACAAAAUACAUGUUUGUACUGGACUACAACUGCUUUCAAAACAAAGAAAGAAAUAUGAGAGAUGAUGUAUAAUAUAGUAUAUUAUUAAUGCAAGUCUGUGCUGGGGUGCUGUAGAACAUCAUUUGCAUGAAACAUUAGUCAAAUUCUAAGGCUAGUAAUGAGAGAUAAUACUGAACAACAUUUAUUAAGCUUUUCCUCAAAAAAACAUUGGGUUCAAAAGAAUCUACCAAGGAAUCUAUCUGGCCAACUCAAACAAAAACCUUAAGAUUACACACUAGCAAUAUAUAAUGAACACUAGUAAUGUCAGUGUAUUUGUAAUAUUUGCAUUUACAUUUUUAGGCAACCAGAGUUGACAGACUUUACAAAAGAAUGAAAGCUUGAUAAAUAUUGCCCAGAGUACACAUGAAAGUAAGGAUGUUUCUAAUGUGGGAGAACUGUGUCAAGAUCAUCUAAGUGUUAACAAAUGAUUGGCAUUGCUUGGCUUUUUUUGUCAUCCUAUUUUAUAUUUACUGAUACUUCAGGAAAGCUAUGAUGACUGCCAACUCUGUAAGUGCCACCACUUGUGACCAAAAUUAAUGGACACUAACAACAAAAAGUAAGAGGUUGAAGCCUCACUUAAGGGCUCAGCCGGUGUAAUCUCCUCUUGUGGAAGCAUGUUAUCAGUUCACAGUACUGUCUGUGUCAGUGUGUCAUUGCCUUUACAACAGCAUGUCAGAUUUACAUUUUGCCUGUAUUCUUCAACUUCUUUAUAUGUAGUGAUGGAAAAUCAUAGACAGUGUCAUGCGUGUUUAUGUAUGAUUGAUGUUUAAAAUAAACAUGAUUUGCUAGACAAACAGCAAUGGAAUAUUUUCUGCAUUAAAAAGUGUAAAUAAAGGAAAGUGCCAUACCCACAAAGUAAAAUAAAUAUUCAGUAUACCUAAAAAUUUAUUAUGUUACUUAUUUUCCAUUUAAAAAGCACCAAAAUAGUACCGCAGUAAGGUCUAAAGUAACACAAUUGUUGAUUCAAGUUCAAAUACUUGCCCUGUCCUACUCGCCUGCUCCAAUUUCAUGUGGUUCUACAGUCCCCUCCUAAAAUACUGGAACACAGGGUUAAUUCGUUGUUGUUUUUUGCUGUAGACUGAAGACAUUUGGGUUUAAAUUAAAAAUUAAAUAUGAGAAGAAAGUUAGAAUUUCAGCUUUUAUUUCCUGAUAUUUAUAUGUAGAUGUGUUAAAUGACAUAGAACAUUUUGUAUCAACCACCCAAUUUGUAGGUCAGCAAAAAUAUUGGAACAUGGACUGACAGAUAUUUCUUGUUACCCAGGUGUGUCUUGUUAAGUUGAUUGUUUAAACAAUAAAUAGCUCUGAACAUCUACUCAUGGUUUCAGCCUUCAGUUUCACCUGUGAAGACUGCAUUUGUUGUUAAAAAGGAUAGGCCAACAUGAAAAUUGGACAGCCGUCUAUGGGAGAAAAGCAAGCCAUCUUGAAGCUGAGAAAAGAGGGAAAAUCAAUCAGAGACAUUGCACAAACAUUGGGCAUAGUGACUACAACAAUUUGGAAUGUCCUGCAAAAGAAAGAAACCACUGAUGUACUGAGCAACAGACACUGAGAACAACAGCAGCUGAAGACAGAAACAUUGUGAGAGCUGUAAAGAAAAACACAAAAACAACAAUCAUUGACAUAACCAACAACCUCCACAGGACACUCGUGAAGGUAUCACAAUCCACCGCUCAAAGACUUCAAGUGCAGAAAUAUAUAGAGGCCAUACCACAAGAUGCUAUCUACUCAUCAGCUGAAAGAAUCAGAAAGCCAGAUUGGAAUUGGCAAAGAAAUACAGAGAUGAGCCACAAAAGUUCUGGAACCAAGAUAACCUCUACAAAGCCAUGGAAAGGCCAAUGUGUGGAGAAAGAAGGGAUCUGCUCAUGAUCCAAAACAUACAGGUUCAUCUCUGAAUCAUGGUGGAGGUAGUGUCAGGGCUUGGGCUUGCAUGGCCUUUUCUUUAACAGGCUCACUAGUGUUUAUUGAUGAUAUAACUCAUGAUGGUAGCAGCAGAAUGAAUAAAGAAGUUUGCAGGAACAUUUGUCAAUUUACAGAGAAAUGCAUCCAAACUAGCUGGAAGGAACUUCAUAAUGCAACAAGAAAAUUACCCAAAACACUGACAACUCAACAAAGGACUUCAUCAAGGGGGAAAAAGUGGAAGGUUUGAGACUGCCCAGUUAAUCACCAGAUCUUAACCCAAUUUAGCAGAAUUUCAAAUCCUGAAGAGGAGACUGAAGGGAGAAACCACCUGAAACAAACAACAACUGAAAGAGGCUGCUGUAAAAGCCUGGAAAACCAUUAAAAAAGAAGAAGAAGAAACCAACAAUUUGGUGAUGUCAAUGAGGCUUGAUGCAGUUAUUGGAAGCAAGGCAUAUGCAAUCAAAUAUUAUGUUAUUUUCUUUCAUUUACUUCAAGACUUACCUUUUCUUAUACUUUUGCUCACCUAAAAAUUGGGUGGUCUGAUACAAAAGGUUCUAUGUUUAAUGUUGUUUAACACAUCUAGAUGUAAAUACCAGGAAAUAAAAGCUGAAAUAAUAAACUUUAUUUGCAUACCCAUCUUUUGAUCUCAAACCCAAAUGUCUUUGGUGUAUAGCACAAACAAAUGAAUUGGCCUUGCCAUUCCAAUCAUUUCAGAUGAGACUGUAAGUGAAUUCACUUAUUGAUAACAAGUUGCCUAGUCGUAUUCGGCUAACUUUAUAACAGAUCUGCAUAUAUAAAACAGUGAUUCUUUCAUUCAUCUUACGUAACCACUUUAUCCUGGGCAGGGUCAUGGAGGGUUUGGAGUCUAUCCGGGGGACACUGGCUGUGAGGUGGGAAUACUCUAUGAAACACCACUGCAUUGCAGGGCAGCAUUCACACACUCUAAUCCACCUUUAGUUAUGUUUUAUGGGAGGAAACCCACCUGUACAUAAGGAGUGCAUAAACAAGAUUCUAUCAGCACCUGACUUUUCUACAUGGCCACAAUUAAGCAAUGCAUAUUUAAUCUGAAGAUUUAAUUUGUACUCAAUUGUUUAUAUUAAGAUUAUUAAUUUUGUAUUUGUGGUUCUGAGUACUGUUUCAUUAUAACUUGUUUUCUGGGAGAGCUGGUGCAUUUAUACUGUAGACUUAUGUCAUGCGCUACAACAACACUUCCCCAUAGGAAACACUUAUGUAUCCUGAUUCUAAAAGCCUAAUUUCUCUUCUCUUCUACUGCAUUUUAAUAACUGGUACCUAUGUAAAGAUGGCAGACAUUGAUUGAU
ensembl:lncRNA